CUCGUGUUCUCGCGAGAGGCGGGAAAGAGCGAAGGGUUUGAAAGAUGGCGGACGACGUGGACCCGCAACAAACCACCAACACUGUGGAAGAGCCCUUGGAUCUCAUCCGGCUCAGCCUGGACGAGCGCAUCUACGUGAAGAUGAGAAACGACAGAGAACUUCGAGGCCGGUUACACGCUUAUGAUCAACAUUUAAAUAUGAUAUUGGGAGAUGUGGAAGAAACUGUGACAACUAUAGAAAUUGAUGAAGAAACAUAUGAAGAAAUAUAUAAAUUUGGAGUCUAAAAACAGUUCGCUUUCUGACCUUAUGAAUGCUGUUCCUUAUCAUCGCUGCUUGAAAACCUGUUAGUUAUCGCCUAAGCUCAUCUCUUCCUUACACUGCCCUGCCCAGCGCAUCAGGUUGACAGCAACACUACCGAUGUUUGGCUUUUUCGAACCUUUUCCCCAGAACCUAGGUUUGGGCCGUCUUCAUGCUGCUCUUCAGCCACUUUCUAGGCAACAGUUUUGGGACCUCCCUGGUGACUCAGACGAACCCCGUCCGUGGCGCCACGUGGUUGGCAGGGAGUGUGAGGAAUGUCUAGCCGUGUGCCGGGAAGAGGGGGGAACGGCUGCGUGGAUGGCUGCAGCCCCUCCCCUGGCUGUGUUCCAGGAAAAGAAACACUCAGGAGAUGGUUCCUUGUGUCACAAAGUCAACAAAACGGAAUAUUCCGAUGCUCUUUGUACGGGGAGAUGGCGUUGUGCUGGUUGCCCCGCCGUUGAGAGUUGGCUGAAACGAGAAUUCAUCGCGUGUGGAAGAUGGGCUGUACUGUGUGAUUGCCUCUUUGAAUGUGGAAGAUGUUCGAAAGAGAGACCGAUGUGCAUCUUGAUGCUAAGAAAUAACCAAGAAUUCUUCCACUCCUGAAAUAAGUUGAUUUGUAGAUAACUCACAAAUUCUUCAGCUAAACGGCAUUUUUAUUUUUCUCCAACCCUUCCAAUAAAUGUGAUCGCCGCGAUACAGAGCUUUUUCAGGAAUUGAUUUGCUCCACUGUUUUAUUUGGACAAUUUCUGGGUUUCUUCCUUUAAAUUAAAUGUGUCGUUUCCUUUCUUG